ensembl:lncRNA
CAUCAGUCACAAAACAAGAUUACAGCUAUUGAAGACCUUGGGUAACCAGAGCACACUGUGAUAGGGUGGCUAUUGUUUCUUAAAUCUCCAUGAGACCUUAGGAUGCUUUUUAUGUUGUAUCCGUUGUUUCCAUUUUAUGAAGUUUAUGAUCCAGGGCACUCAUCAGUUUUCUCAUUUAUAAAAUAGAGAUAACAAACGUGUCCACUUCACAGAAUUGUUGUGAGGAAUAAAUGCAUUACAGAAGUGUAAAUAGCCUAGAAACGAUUAUUAUCAUUGUUUCUCCUUUUCUCCUGGAUUCUCCAGCAAUCUAUCAAACGAUGAACAUAUACACAUCUUGGGAAGUCCUUCUGUGCCCCCAAGUCUUCUUCCCGCUCGCACUCACCCUCAGGAACCAGGGGCACGUGCGUGGCCACCACCAUUUAAGUUACUGCAAACUUCCUUGCAGAGAGCAUGCCCUCACGCAUGUGCAAGCAGGAGGAGAUGAAUAAAGGGGGAGAAGAGAGAGAGAGAGAGAGAGAGAGAAUCUCAAGCAGACUCCACGCUCAGCACAGUGGAGCCCAACUCAAGACUCAGUCCCACAACCAUGAGAUCAUUCCCUGAACUGAAAUCAAGAGUCAGGCACUCAAUGGACUGAGCCACCCAGGUACCCCUGAUCCUUUACUUUAGAAUGAGAGUCUGGGUCUUGGUGAAAAUGAUUGAAACAUUCACACAUGUCCUUUUGAUUUCUUCUGGCAAUGCAAGGCAAGACACCCUUGUCAUUCUGUGAUAUGUCUGUUUCCUUAUGCUUUGUUUUCGUGGAGUUAGUGGUGUUCCUUGCAGUUCCUCUGUUCCAGUCUUUAAUGAACAAAUUAAAGCUUAUCAUUUCACUGUACAAUGUGGGAGGUUGAUUCUGAUGGUUUGCAAAUAUGUUAGCAUGGGUGCAUGUAGACAGAAUUAAAGUUGCUCUAGUUCCAUUUCUUGUCUUUAUAAUCACUGAGUUAUUAUUGAUUACUGCAGAUAUACAGGUUAGACUCAGGAAUAAGUACUGAACUGUGCCCAGGUUGAGGUCUAAAUGAUUCCAACUGAUCAUGCACUUACUCCUGAAACCAAUGGUUGGAGCUGAGUCUGCAUGUGUCAUAGGCUAAACGAGAACUAGUUCUCCAAAUGAACUUGAUGACAUAGGACACAAUGUUUAUGAAAGGAUAAGUAAUAAAAAUGUGUUAAUUGGAAAUUUAUUUUUUUUUAUAGAAACUAAGUAGAAACCAAAGUAGUUGUUUAGAAUUUAGACCAGAAAAAAAUUUCAGGGAGAAUUAUUUUAUCGGUGCCAUUUUUACAAUUGCAGGCUGGUAGCAAUACUAAAAAGUGGGCCACUUUUAGUUGGUUUUAUUGUUGUUUUUCAGUUCCCUUUGGAACAGUGCACUCCAUACUGCCAGCAUGAGGGUUGUUCCCACUGCCUCUCCCAUCUCCAGGCCUCCACCGCCUGAAGUCGGCCAGGCAUGCAGAAUGGGGGACAAGAGAGACUUAGGUAAGACUGUUAGGUGUCCUCUAACAGGACUUCUUCCUUGUAAACAGAAAACCAAUUUUCUUUAGGUCUCUGCCUCUCAAGAAAGGGACUCUGGGGGCGCCUGGGUGGCUCAGUCAGUUAGGCCUCUGACUUCGGCUCAGGUCAGAUCUCACGUUCGUGGGUUCGAGCCCCAUGUCGGGCUCUGUGCUGACCGCUAGCUCAGAGCCUGGAGCCUGCUUCCAUGUCUGUGUCUCCUUCUCUCUCUCUGCCCCUCCCCCUCUCAUGCUCUGUCUCUCUCUGUAUCAAAAAAUAAAUAAAACAUUAAAAAAAAAAAAAAGAAAGGGACUCUGUGCUCCAUUCAGGAAAAUAUACUGACUAAUCCAAAAUUUUGUGUCAAUUUAAUUCCCUUUGCCUGUGAUUGGGUUAGGUAUGGGUAUUUGUGGAAGUUCCAGCCAAAGAGCCGUGAAGACAAGUCUGUUGUGAAGGCUUUCAAAUCCAUCAAUGCAUCCCAGCAUAGUCUAGAGCUCAGACCAAUAAUUAAAUCACACACAUAUGUGCCUAUCUAUAUACCUAUGCAUCUAUCUAUAUAUGUAUAUGUAUGUGUAUUUACAUUUACAUUGAAAACAAGAUAAAUCAUGUCAUCUUGUUAAUACAUAUAUGUCAUCUUGUUUUCAAUCUAGAUUAGAUGUAUACUAUUGAAGUGAAUAAAAAUGCAUUCACAUAAAAGAGACACCAAAUUCAUAGUAGCUCUUUGACUUUGUAUGUUUUCUCAGCCAAAAGAUACUAGAAAGUACAAAUCUAUCAAUAUAUGUUCAUAUCUUUGUUUAAAAGAAGUCUUUUUUAAUGAACAAUCUUCUAUUUCUUUGUCAUCAUGUAGGCGUAUCCCCAGAAUUUUCUACCUACCACUAGAGGGUAGUAUAAACCAGCAAAAGGUCCAACCAUCCAGUCAGCAAUAGCAUAGGCCUAAGAACAACUAAGCAGCGAUAAACAACAACCACUUCACCAGGAUGGCCAUGUUAGGCAAAGCAAUAUAGGUCCCAUUUUUCUUUAACUCAAAAUGAACAUACCUUUACUAACUCUCAUGACUAAUCUGUGUAUUUUAACUGGUUAGACAACCUUAGACAUUAAGUGUUCACAGUCUAGAGUAAGAAUGACUGGGUUUCCGUCUCGCAUCCAUCCUUCAUAGCAGUGCAGCAUUGGAACAUUUUUCUACCUGUUUCCUUAUCUGCAAAAUGAUAGUAAUAAUAUCAACUGCAUUCUCCAUAAGUGC